rnacentral:rRNA from 1 species
UACAGAGGUCCCAAGCGUUGUUCGGAUUCACUGGGCGUAAAGGGUGCGUAGGUGGUGGGGUAAGUCUGAUGUGAAAUCUUCGAGCUUAACUCGGAAAUGGCAUUGGAUACUACUCUGCUAGAGGUUUGGAGGGGGGACUGGAAUUCUCGGUGUAGCAGUGAAAUGCGUAGAUAUCGAGAGGAACACCUGCGGCGAAGGCGGGUUGCUGGGCUGACACUGACGCUGAAGUGCGAAAGCUAGGGGAGCGAACGGG